rnacentral:tRNA from 1 species
GCCGAAGUGGUGGAAUUGGUAGACACGCCAGGUUCAGGGUCUGGUACUCGCAAGGGUGUGGGAGUUCGAGUCUCCCCUUCGGCACCA